GUAGGUGAACCUGCGGAGGGAUCAUUACUGAGUGAGGGCCCUCCGGCCCGACCUCCAACCCCAUGUUAUCCGACAUUGUUGCCUCGGGGGCGACCCGGCCUUCGGGCGUCGGGGCCCCCGGUGGACCUCCUAACUCUGCAUCUUUGCGUCUGAGUAAAUAUUUGAAUCAAUCAAAACUUUCAACAACGGAUCUCUUGGUUCUG
rnacentral:misc_RNA from 1 species